rnacentral:tRNA from 1 species
GCCACCAUAGCUCAGUGGCAGAUCACUGGUCUUGUAAACCAGGGGUCGUGAGUUCAAUCCUCGCUGGUGGGAGUGCA